rnacentral:rRNA from 1 species
GGGUUAACACCCGCAAGUGGGGGGGGUAACACGAUUUAAAAUUUUUCUUAAUUGUGGGGGGCCCCGGGGGUGGGGGAGUGACACAUGUUUCCACCUCUCCGUUACACACGGGGGAUCCCUUUGAAAGAGAGAGUUAAAUACCGGAGGGGUUAGUGAGAGCGCAUGCUUUUUUUGCUAAAGAUUUAUUGGUUUAGGAGGGGAUGGCUUUCCAUAGGUUAGUGGUAAGGGUAACGCCUUACCAAGUCAGCGAAUGAUAGGGGGUCUGAGAGGAAGACCCCCCCACAUGGAACUGAGACACGGUCCCAACUCCUACGGGAGGCAGCAGUGAGGAAUUUUGGUCAAUGGGCGCAAUGCCUGAACCAGCCAAGUAGCGUGAAGGAAGACUGCCCUUAGGGUUGUAAACUUCUUUUAUAAGGGAAUAACGAUAGCAACGAGUUGCUAUUUGCAUGUACCUUACGAAUAAGGAUCGGCUAACUCCGUGCCAGCAGCCGCGGUAAUACGGAGGAUCCAAGCGUUAUCCGGAUUUAUUGGGUUUAAAGGGUGCGUAGGCGGGAAAGGAAGUCAGUUGUGAAAUGUAGUGGCUCAACCUCUGCACUGCAGCGCGAACUGGUCUUCUUGAGUACGCACAACGUGGGCGGAAUUCGUGGUGUAGCGGUGAAAUGCUUAGAUAUCACGAAGAACUCCGAUUGCGAAGGCAGCUCACGGGAGCGCAACUGACGCUGAAGCUCGAAAGUGCGGGUAUCGAACAGGAUUAGAUACCCUGGUAGUCCGCACGGUAAACGAUGGAUGCCCGCUGUUGGCCUGAAUAGGUCAGCGGCCAAGCGAAAGCA